rnacentral:rRNA from 1 species
GACGAACGCUGGCGGCGUGCCUAAUACAUGCAAGUCGAGCGAGCGGAUCUAACAGAUUUACUUCGGUAAUGACGUUAGGAAAGCGAGCGGCGGAUGGGUGAGUAACACGUGGGGAACCUGCCCCAUAGUCUGGGAUACCACUUGGAAACAGGUGCUAAUACCGGAUAAGAAAGCAGAUCGCAUGAUCAGCUUUUAAAAGGCGGCGUAAGCUGUCGCUAUGGGAUGGCCCGGCGGUGCAUUAGCUAGUUGGUAAGGUAAAGGCUUACCAAGGCGAUGAUGCAUAGCCGGUUUGAGAGACUGAUCGGCCACAUUGGGACUGAGACACGGCCCAAACUCCUACGGGAGGCAGCAGUAGGGAAUCUUCCACAAUGGACGCAAGUCUGAUGGAGCAACGCCGCGUGAGUGAAGAAGGUUUUCGGAUCGUAAAGCUCUGUUGUUGGUGAAGAAGGAUAGAGGUAGUAACUGGCCUUUAUUUGACGUUAAUCAACCAGAAAGUCACGGCUAACUACGUG